ACUGCAGUAUUUAAAAAAUAAAUUUUGAAAUAUACAUGCAUGUCUCUAACCUUGAAUUCCAACAGUAGAGUUUAAGAGACCUAGAAAUAGGAUCAACCAAAAGUAUCUGUGACACCUUAGGCUAGGUCAUAUUUGAGAAGAUAGACUCAACAAACUGAAGAAAGAUGAUCUUUUUGGACUAUUGACUUCUGAGACUUAUCCAGUCUGUGAAUCAUAUCUUCAAGAAAAAAUGAUCAAGCUAUCCUUGUGGGA
rnacentral:lncRNA from 1 species